rnacentral:lncRNA from 1 species
AAAAAAAAAAAAAGGCAGGGAACUGCCCCGCGGAUGGUGGUGCGGGAGCAGAGGGGCCGGCACGGAGCGCAGGACGGGCAGAGACACGGGGCCCCCUCACCGUGUGGAACACUGGGCCUCACAUAAACCAGGCAGGAGAGAUGUUUCCAAGAUGGGAUCAUUUCACACCAGAACUCAUAUACUGAAACCCUAAUUAAUAUUGAAAAGUAAGUAUUAAUACAGUAUUGCAUCACUUUUCCUCCUCCAACAGGGUAAAUCUGGGGGGGUUUUUUCCCCCUUAUUUGUUUAUACCU